CAUGCAAGUCGAACGGCAGCACGGGUGCUUGCACCUGGUGGCGAGUGGCGAACGGGUGAGUAAUACAUCGGAACAUGUCCUGUAGUGGGGGAUAGCCCGGCGAAAGCCGGAUUAAUACCGCAUACGAUCUACGGAUGAAAGCGGGGGACCUUCGGGCCUCGCGCUAUAGGGUUGGCCGAUGGCUGAUUAGCUAGUUGGUGGGGUAAAGGCCUACCAAGGCGACGAUCAGUAGCUGGUCUGAGAGGACGACCAGCCACACUGGGACUGAGACACGGCCCAGACUCCUACGGGAGGCAGCAGUGGGGAAUUUUGGACAAUGGGCGAAAGCCUGAUCCAGCAAUGCCGCGUGUGUGAAGAAGGCCUUCGGGUUGUAAAGCACUUUUGUCCGGAAGGAAAUCCUNUGGUUCUANAUANNUAGCCGGGGGANNUGACGGUACCGGAAGAAAAUAAGCANNCCGGCUAACUNNACGUGCCAGCAGCCGCGNGUAAUACGUAGGGUGCGAGCGUUAAUCGGAAUUACUGGGCGUAAAGCGUGCGCAGGCGGUUUGCUAAGACCGAUGUGAAAUCCCCGGGCUCAACCUGGGAACUACAUUGGUGACUGGCAGGCUAGAGUAUGGCAGAGGGGGGUAGAAUUCCACGUGUAGCAGUGAAAUGCGUAGAGAUGUGGAGGAAUACCGAUGGCGAAGGCAGCCCCCUGGGCCAAUACUGACGCUCAUGCACGAAAGCGUGGGGAGCAAAC
rnacentral:rRNA from 1 species